UACGGAGGGGGCCAGCGUUGUUCGGAAUCAUUGGGCGUAAAGGGCGCGUAGGCGGCUUUGUAAGUCCGUUGUGAAAUCCUCGGCGUCAACCGAGGAACUGCGACGGAUACUGCUUGGCUUGAGUCCCGGAGAGGGUAGCGGAAUUCCCAGUGUAGCGGUGAAAUGCGUAGAUAUUGGGAGGAACACCUGCGGCGAAGGCGGGUUGCUGGGCUGAUACUGACGCUGAGGCGCGAAAGCCAGGGGAGCGAACGGG
rnacentral:rRNA from 1 species